rnacentral:rRNA from 1 species
UACGAAGGGGGCUAGCGUUGCUCGGAAUCACUGGGCGUAAAGCGCACGUAGGCGGCUUCUUAAGUCAGGAGUGAAAUCCUGGAGCUCAACUCCAGAACUGCCUUUGAUACUGAGGAGCUUGAGUCCGGGAGAGGUGAGUGGAACUGCGAGUGUAGAGGUGAAAUUCGUAGAUAUUCGCAAGAACACCAGUGGCGAAGGCGGCUCACUGGCCCGGUACUGACGCUGAGGUGCGAAAGCGUGGGGAGCAAACAGG